rnacentral:lncRNA from 1 species
UUCAAUUACAGUUACUGUAAAGAAAACAACCUGUAACAGGAGUCUGUGCGAAACAUUCUGAAGAGAGAUUGUGAAACCAGAACAGAUGGUUGUUGUAACACUGUCCCAUUUCAUGCUUGCAGGUUAUAAGAAGAUAAAAGAAAAUCUGAGCUACACUGACACUCCACUGAUGAGUUCAGGUCAACUACUACACGCUAUCUGGCAACAAUGGCUUCACCGAGAGGUCACCAUCGGCGCGGAAGCAUGGAGCUACCACCUAACAUGUUGUAAGAGAUCGUUGUUAUUAUUUUAAUACAUUGUGUAUUUUUAGGGGUUUUCACU